CGAUGAGGUAGAGGUUGCGACUUUUAUAAGUAAGACGGAUGAGACGCAGAGAAUGUCCAUGAUUCCGUUUGAAAGGAAAAGUUGCCGAAGUUUAUAUUUCUUCUCUGGAAGUAUGAGCUGGGGCUGUCUCCGAAUAGGAACAGAACUGUCACGUUUACAAAUUACCGUGUAAACGUGGGGUGCUAUCUUAACG
rnacentral:ncRNA from 1 species